rnacentral:rRNA from 1 species
AGUGAACGCUAGCGGUAGGCCUAACACAUGCAAGUCGAACGGCAGCACAGUAAGAGCUUGCUCUUACGGGUGGCGGGUGGCGGACGGGUGAGGAAUACAUCGGAAUCUACUUUUUCGUGGGGGAUAACGUAGGGAAACUUACGCUAAUACCGCAUACGACCUACGGGUGAAAGCAGGGGAUCUUCGGACCUUGCGCGAUUGAAUGAGCCGAUGUCGGAUUAGCUAGUUGGCGGGGUAAAGGCCCACCAAGGCGACGAUCCGUAGCUGGUCUGAGAGGAUGAUCAGCCACACUGGAACUGAGACACGGUCCAGACUCCUACGGGAGGCAGCAGUGGGGAAUAUUGGACAAUGGGCGCAAGCCUGAUCCAGCCAUACCGCGUGGGUGAAGAAGGCCUUCGGGUUGUAAAGCCCUUUUGUUGGGAAAGAAAAGCAGCAGGUUAAUACCCCGCUGUUCUGACGGUACCCAAAGAAUAAGCACCGGCUAACUUCGUG